GAUGAAGAACGCAGCGAAAUGCGAUACUUGGUGUGAAUUGCAGAAUCCCGUGAACCAUCGAGUCUUUGAACGCAAGUUGCGCCCGAAGCCACUAGGCCGAGGGCACGCCUGCCUGGGCGUCACACGCCGUUGCCCCCCCAUCUACUCCUUCGGGAUUGCGGGGGGGCGGAUGAUGGCCUCCUGUGCGCCUAGCCGCGCGGUUGGCAUAAAUACCAAGUCCUCGGCGACGCACGCCACGACAAUCGGUGGUGGCGAAACCUCGGUUGCCCGUCGUGUGCGUUCGUCGCGCAUCGAGGGCUCGAAAAAAUGCUCGGCUCCGGCUGGGCUUUCAACGCGACCCCAGGUCAGGCGGGGUUACCCGCUGAAUUUAAGCAUAUCAAUAAGCGGAGGA
rnacentral:misc_RNA from 1 species